UGGGGGAUAUUGCACAAUGGGCGAAAGCCUGAUGCAGCGACGCCGCGUGGGGGAUGAAGGCUUUCGGGUUGUAAACCUCUUUCGCUAUCGAACAAGGCCCGCUUAGGGUGGGUUGAGGGUAGGUGGAGAAGAAGCGCCGGCUAACUACGUGCCAGCAGCCGCGGUAAUACGUAGGGCGCGAGCGUUGUCCGGAAUUAUUGGGCGUAAAGGGCUUGUAGGCGGCUUGUUGCGCCUGCUGUGAAAACGCGGGGCUUAACUUCGCGCGUGCAGUGGGUACGGGCAGGCUUGAGUGUGGUAGGGGUGACUGGAAUUCCAGGUGUAGCGGUGGAAUGCGCAGAUAUCUGGAGGAACACCGAUGGCGAAGGCAGGUCACUGGGCCAUUACUGACGCUGGGGAGCGAAAGCAUGGGUAGCGAACAGG
rnacentral:rRNA from 1 species